AUGUGUCUUGCCAUGCACUAUCUUUGCCGCACGGACUCAUUCUUACAUGAUGGACACUUUGUGUGCGCUAACCAUUAUAUUUCUGAGUGUCGCUUGUGUUUGGUCUUUUUGCAUGUCUAUCACUCCGGAGACACCUUGGAGUACUUGGAUUGCGCAAUGCCUUCAUCUACGUCCGACUACAAGUCUGUCCACGAUAACCGUUUCCAUGGUGAUGAGGAUCACGAUCCGAGGUCGGAUCUUUCCCAAGGGGGGGGGGAGAUAAUGCGUAGCAUCCCACAUUCAUCCCCAUGUACACUCUGA
rnacentral:rRNA from 1 species